rnacentral:rRNA from 1 species
UAGCUCAAAUUUGAAAUCUGGCGUCUUCGACGUCCGAGUUGUAAUUUGUAGAGGAUGCUUCUGAGUAACCACCGACCUAAGUUCCUUGGAACAGGACGUCAUAGAGGGUGAGAAUCCCGUAUGCGGUCGGAAAGGUGCUCUAUACGUAGCUCCUUCGACGAGUCGAGUUGUUUGGGAAUGCAGCUCUAAAUGGGAGGUAAAUUUCUUCUAAAGCUAAAUAUUGGCCAGAGACCGAUAGCGCACAAGUAGAGUGAUCGAAAGAUGAAAAGCACUUUGGAAAGAGAGUUAAAAAGCACGUGAAAUUGUUAAAAGGGAAGGGAUUGCAACCAGACUUGCUCGCGGUGUUCCGCCGGUCUUCUGACCGGUCUACUCGCCGCGUUGCAGGCCAGCAUCGUCUGGUGCCGCUGGAUAAGACUUGAGGAAUGUAGCUCCCUCGGGAGUGUUAUAGCCUCUUGUGAUGCAGCGAGCGCCGGGCGAGGUCCGCGCUUCGGCUAGGAUGCUGGCGUAAUGGUCGUAAUCCGCCCGUCUU